GAUGAACGCUGGCGGCGUGCUUAACACAUGCCAGUCGAGCGGAAAGGCCCUGCGAAGGUGGGGGGCUCGAGUGGCGAACGGGUGAGUAACACGUGAGUAACCUGCCCUUGACUUUGGGAUAACUUCAUAAAACUGGGGCAAAUACCGUAAAGGAGCUCCUGAUGCAUGGAGGGGGUUGGAAAGUUGGGGCGGUUGGGGAUGGACUCGCGGCUUAUCAGCUUGUUGAUGGGGUAGUGGCUUACCAAGGCUUUGACGGGAAGGCGGCCUGAGAGGGGUACCGGCCACAUUGGGACUGAGAUACGGCCCAGACUCCUACGGGAGGCAGCGGUGGGGAAUAUUGCACUAUGGGCGGAAGCCUGAUGCAGCAACGCCGCGUGCGGGAUGACGGCCUUCGGUUUGUAAAGCACAUUCGCGUGCGCCGAGGCGUUAGUGACGGUACUUGGUAAAGAAGCACCGGCUAACUACGUG
rnacentral:rRNA from 1 species